CGUCCUCCCCUCCCUGACCAACCCUGUGUGGACCCCAUUAGCGAUCCACUUGUACCACCUAACCCCUCCGCCUACCCUAUCCAGGGCUCUUACUCAACUGAUUAUGCAGCUCUGAAGUCUGCCAUCGCUCAAUAUAAAGCUGCCAGUCAGGAGAGCACAUCUAGGCCUGAUGUAGAGGACACCCUGACCAGUUUCGGUGUGAACCCCCACCAGAGCUAUCUGUGUUCCAACUCGGCACAGUGGAGCCCUUACUCUGGUUCUCCCGCAUACCAUAUGUCCUCUGCAUAUUCGUCUCCAGUUAGCGUGGCCUCCAGGGGAUCAGAGUACAGCCAAACUGUUGCUCCUCCUGGGACCCAAACUCCAACAAACACCUCCACCAUACAUGUUGCUCAACCACUCACUGUUCCCCUUUCCCUCCCUCAGCCCCAAGUUAGCUCAGUAGAGGUGCCUUCUAUUCUAGAAUCAGCAACCUCUCUUCAGCCGCCUGGACAGUCCCUACCCAUUCCUGACAGCGUGGGAGUGCCUGGGGUGGCAGCGGCAAGCACUCCUAAUCAGUUAGGACUUGCUGGCUCUCAAACUGCUAAGAUAGGUGUAGAGUCUGCUUCCUCAUCCACUGCUUCUUCCUCGUCUUCUCUUCACACCACUUUUCCUUCGUAUCCAGAUACUACUCUUUUUCCAGCCCUCACUCCAAUUCCCCCUAUUCCACCACUUUUCGGCUGGGGUCCUACACCAGGAGCACAGCAGGGUUACGCAGCUGGACAAAGUGGGGCAGGAUUCGGCGCUCUGCCUUCCACCCAAACGGAGGCCGCAAGGCCUGCUGAUGGAUCAUGGGUGGGAGCCACUGAGAGCGAAACCGCUCAUGGACAAGAGGAAGAAGGUGCCCCUACUUCAGCGACUUCUAAAGUGGUCCAGCAGGAGGCCGGUGGAGAGAAAGGAGGUGCACUGGGUAGUUCAACCUCAUGUGGCCAAGGCAGCAGAACUCCAGUGAACUCGUCCUCUGAAAGUCAGGGCGGCAGUCAACCACCUCCCACCAGGGGCGGCACUGCCAGCAGAGGACUCUUACCCAUCCCUGGAGCCGCAAUGAGAGCCUUGUGCAGAGGCGGACACAACAAUAGCAUGUACAAUC
ensembl:lncRNA